rnacentral:lncRNA from 9 species
UGCACAACAACGUACACUGAAAAAUUACUAGAAUGGUAAAUUUCGCGUUACGUAUAUUCCACUUCGUUUUUUUUUUUUUUUUUCUUUUUGACUGUGCCUGAGGCAUGUGGAAGUUCCCAGGCCAGGGGUCAAACAUGCACUGCAGCCAGAGAACUUCUCUACUUCAUUUUUUUUUUAAUUUACCAAAAAUACAUGGGGAGUGAAAAAAAUAACAUUUCAAUGCAAGGAGGCAAACACUGUUCCUCUUCUUCAACAUGGAAAGAUGUACUAUAUGUGUAGAUGACAUCUAGGGGUGUAAUCCUGACACACUGAUGAAGAGAAACACAGGAGUGGAAGACCGACUGAGGAAAAUCUUCCAGAAGUUGGUUUGAGCCUAGAACGGUGUCUGGGAUCAACAAAUAUUUGUGGGCCGACUUAGAUUGUGUAACCUCAGGCAAGCAAGUUAAUCUCUGGGUGCCUUCGUUUCCUCAUCUGUAAAGCAGGGCAACAUGUCCUAUCUAGAUUGGUUGUGACGAUAGAUUUAACCAGUCCAUACAUCUAAAGCACAAGAACAGGGCCUGGCACAGGGUGAGAACACCUAUUAGUUAUUAGAUAUUGUUUUACAGUCAUCAGGCAGGUAGGGAGAAUGAAGAGACUCUCUCUCUCCACCUGCAGCCCCUCACAGGAGCAGUAGGGAUGGAGGCUUCCUUCUAGGUAGAUCGAUAUCAGCUGUUCUGGUGGAGUUUUGAAGACCAGUUCUAAUCUGUCUGAAUUUAAUUGACUGACUCCUUUCAAGGAUCAGAAAGUUAUUUUUAGGGGUUCCAUUGUGGCACAUCAAGUUAAGGAUCUGGCAUUGUCACUGCAGUGGCUCAGGUCACUGCUGUGGCACAGGUUCCAUCCCUGGCCCAAGAACUUCCAUAUGCUGUGGGCACAGCCCUAAAAAGAAAAAAAAAAACUGUCAACUUCAUACGUUCUUUGUCGCAUUUAAAGUUUUUUACUCAUAAGCAUCCUGUCUUUUAAUCCUUGUUGUUCUAAAUUUUCAUUCCUUUUUGGUACCCGUACCUCAGUGCAACUAGAGGCCCUGCCUGAUGAAGAGCACAGCUGAAAAGAUGAGCUUUGCAACCAUUCACAUUAGACCAUCCACAAACUCAUAUCUUAAUCUUUCCUAAGCAGACUUUUGACAAAAAAGCUCCUUAUAAAAAUGUGAACAACACGAGACUCUUCAUCGUAUUGAUGCCGGCUGCCACUGAAUACGUCUUUCGGUAAAUCUGAAUUGAUAAUCACAAGGGAAAAAUCUUAACAUUUUAGGAGUUUCCGUCAUGGCGCAGUGGAAACGAAUCCAGAAAGGAACCUUGAUGUUGCGGGUUCGAUCCCUGGCCUCUAUCAUGGGUUAAGGAUCUGGCAUUGCCGUGAGCAGUGGUAUGGGUUGCAGACGCAGCUUGAAUCCUGCGUUGCUGUGGCUGUGGUGUAGGCCAGCGCUACAGCUCCGAUUUGACCCCUAGCCUGGGAAUCUCCAUAUACCGUGGGUGUGGCUUUAAAAAAAAAAAAAAGGUAAGAAAGUAAAAGAAUAUAUACGUUAUGAGAGGAAUAUUCAUGAUGUGUGUGUUCAUUUUUGUUCUUACAUAUUAGCAAAUUUACAUAUAAACACAUAAAAAAUGUGACAUUGACAAAUACAAACAGGCACAUGUAAUUUAUUCUGUUUUGAAGCCCAGUGCAAGCCAGAGACAUGCUAAUUCAAUAUAAAUAGCAAAGCACAUAUAACAUAGUUAUGUAUUAAAGUAAUAUAGGUAACCUGAUAUAUUAUGGUAUAAUUAAACUACAUUUUUUUUCUAAAGUGAGGCAUAAAUCCAUGUUUAUGAGGUUAAAAUUAAUUAGAUAUGGAAUAUGAAUAAAUAUAUAAUUGAAAUAGAAGAUGUAACUUGUUCUUAUUUAUUAAAUAAUGGUGAAUUAACUUAUCCCUUGAUUUUUUUUUUUUUUUUUUUUUUUGUCUUUUUAGGCCCAUACCCACAGCAUAUGGAAGUUCAGGCUAGGAGUGAAGUUGGAGCUACAGCUGCCCACCUACACCACAGCCACAACAAUGCCAGGUCUGAGCUGCAACCUACACCACAGCUCACAGAAAUGCAGGAUCCUUAACCCACUGAGCAAGGCCAGGGAUUGAACCCACAUCCUCAUGGAUACUAGUCGAGUUCAUUACUGCUGAGCCAUGACAAGGACUCGACGCCUUGAAAUGUUAACUGACUUCAGGUUGAAUUCGAUAAAAAGGAAAGCCAUGUGUUAUGUCACUCGAGUUGCAUGGUGGCUAUUAGAUUUGUCUCAAAGCAACAAAAACUGGGGAGUUGAAAACUGCCUCAGGCCUAAAAAGGUGUGAGCCUCAAUGAAACCUCUGUGUUUACCAACAAAAUUUAUCUGUAUAAAUAUCAGUAUUUAUUCACUUGGACAGCAUUAAAAAGAGUCAAUAUUGCUGUCAUGAGUGAGAUUCCAGAAGCCUAUAGCUGUGAUGACACCUUAGAAACUGACUUUCUGUUUAUCUGCCCUGAAAGUUAAAAGGAACAUAGGAUUUGCUGACCUCCAAGGACUGUGCAGCCUGAGAAAAUCACAUAUUUAAGUGCAGGGCAGGAAAUCUAUGUCUAAGGCACAGGAGGUGGAGUGUCAGUGACCAGUGACUUCUUCCCACUAGUCUGGGAGGUCACCUACACUCUCUGUGUUUUCAACAAAGCACUUUGAAACUUAAGGCAAGCAAGGUCUAAUCCUUACUUAAUAAGAGCUCCCAGGCUAGAAAGAAGUUCUAACAUGGUAACAAAAGGAACAUUGUCCAGUUCAGUAAAUGCUCUUGUGGAGCGCUUACGCUAAAGUACCGUGUGCUGUUUUGUCUAAAUGUAACACAAUCCCAUGAAUGAAAGAUUUUUUUUCCCUAAAUUUUAUUUUUUGGGAAGUUUUAAAGCAAGUUUCUGAACCAUCAAAAGAAAAUGGUGCAAUGGCACAAGAAACAAAACUGUAUUUUUCAAAACAAAACUGAAUUUUGAAAAUAAGUCGUUCAUGUUCGGUUUCACAAGGGGUUGAAUGGCACGGAGCUCCAUGGAGAAUGACAGGAGUUCCUGUUGUGGCUCAGCAGUUUAAGAACCCAACCUAGUGUCCAUGAAGAUGCAGGUUGGAUCCCUGGCUUUGCUUAAUGGGUUAAGGAUCCAGUGUUGCUGCGAGUUGCAGUGUAGAUCACAGAUACGACUCAUAUCUGGCAUUGCUGUGGCUGUGGCAUAGGCUGGCAGCUGCAGCUCUAAUUUGACCCCUAGCCUGGGAACUUCCAUAUGCUGCAGGUGUGGCCCUAACAAAUAAAAAGGAGGAGAGAGAGAGAGCUAUUCACUUCAGCAGCUGGAUGCUAAUGACUGCAUGAGGACAAUGAUAACACGUGUAAAUCCAAGAAAAUCAUCUUUUUAUACCAAGACUUGAAUUAACCUCACAUGAAAUUGCUGAGUCUGGAGCAUAAACUGAGUGAGUUAGGUCUCUUCCAAUGCCAAGAAACCUCUUCAAACUUUCUGGUCAACAGGCUUCAUGUACAGCAGGAAGGGGCCAUGAAUGCCCAUCAAGCCAUCUCUGUGGAACGCUUAUGCUAAAGUACCGUGUGCUGUUUUGUCUAAAUGUCACAACAAUCCCAUGAAUGAAAGAUUUUUUUUUUCCCUAAAUUUUAUUUUAUUUUUUGGAAAGUUUUAAAGUGAGUUUCUGAACCAUCGAAAGAAAAUGGUACAAUGGCACAAGAAACAAAGCUGUGUUUUUCAAAACAAUACUGAAUUUUGAAAAUAAGUCAUUCAUGUUCAGUUUCACAAGGGGUUGAAUGGCAUGGAGCCUAACUCUGCUUCUCUCUCUUUCUUUUUUUUUUAUUAAAGUGUUGUUGAUUUACAGCGUUGCACCAAUUUCUGCUGUAGAGCAAAGUGACUCAGCCACAGAUACUUUCUUUUUUUAUGUUCUUUUCCAUCACAGUCUAUCCCGGGAGAUUGGGCAUAGUUCCCUGUGCUGUACAGCAGGACCUCAUUGCUUAUCCAUUCUAAAUGUAAUGGUUUGCACCUACUAACCCCAAACUCCCAGUCAUCCUACUCCCUCCCCCUUCCCUUUGGCAACCAUAAGUCUGUUCUCCUAUGUCUGUGAGUCUGUUUUUGUUCUGUAGAUAGGUUCAUUUGUGCCAUAUUUUAGAUUCCACAAAUGUGAUAUCAUAGGAUAUUUGUCUUUGGGACUUUUCACUUAGUGUGAUAAUCUCUGGUUGCAUCCAUGUUGCUGCAAAUGGCAUUAUUUCAUUUUUUAAUGGCUGAGUAGUAUUCCAUUGUGUAAAUAUACCGCAUCUUCCUAAUCCAUUCAUCUGUCAAUAGACUUUUAAGCUGUUUCCAUGUUGUAACUGUUGUAAAUAGUGCUUCUGUGAAAAUAGGAGUGCAUGUUUCUUUUUGGAUUACAGUUUUGUCCAGAUAUAUGUCCAAGAGUGGGAUUGCUGGAUCAUAUGGUGACUCUAUUUUUAGUUUGCUGAGGAGCCUCAUACUGUUUCCUAUAGUGGUUGUACCGACUUACAUUCCUACCAACAACGUAGUAAGGUUUCUUUUUCUCCACACCCCCUCCAGCAUUUGUUAUUUGUAGACUUAUUAAUGAUGGCCAUCCUGACUGGGAUGAGGUGGUACCUCAUUGUAGUUUUGACUUGCAUUUCUCGGUUAGUGAUAUUGAGCAUCUUUUCAUGUGCCUACUGGCCAUCGAUAUGUCUUCUUUGGAGAAAUGUCUAUUUAGAUCUGCCCAUUUUUCAGUAGGGUUGUUUGGGGUUUUUUUGGUUUUGUUUGUUUGUUUGUUUGUUUGUUUGUUUGCAUUGUAAGAGUUGUUUAUACAUUUUGAAGAUUAAGCCCUUCCUGACUGAGUUGUUUACAAAUAGUUUCUCCCCUUCUCUAGGUUGUCUUUUCAUUGUGUUUGUUUUUUAUGGUUUCCUUUGCUGUGCAGAGGCUUGUAAAUUUGAUUAGGUCCCAUUUGCUUAUUUUUGUUUUUAUUUUUAUCACCUUGGGAGACUGACCUAAGAAAACAUUUGUACCAUUUAUGUUAGAGAAUGUUUUGCCUAUGUUCUCUUCUAGGAGUUUUACGGUGUCUUGUGUCUUAUGUUUAAGUCUUUAAGCCAUUUUGAGUUCAUUUUUGCGCAUGGUGUGAGGGUGUGUUCUAGUUUCAUUGAUUUACAUGCAGCUGUCCAAUUUUCCCAGCACCACUUGCUGAAGAGACUCUUUCCAUUUUAUAUUCAUGCCUCCUUUGUCAAAGAUUAAUUGACCGUAGGUGUGAGGGUGAAUUACAGACUAAUCUCAUUUUGCAGAUGAGGAAACAAACCCAGGGAGGUUAAAUACCUUAUCAAGGUUUUUGUUGGGGCCAGGACUUCCUGAUAUGAUUACCAAAUGCAAUGGACAACAAAUCUCUCUACUGGGUAUGAAGAUGCCAUUGACGGGUUAACAUGAAAGCUGGAUUCCAAAUGAUAGAUAGGACUUUAUGAAGGGUAGGUGGACAGAGGAGAGUGUUAUUUAAAGGGAAUAGUAUCUACCAAGACAAAGAGAAUGUAGAAAAGCUGUUCGGACAAUGUUAAGGGUCCUGAUGGGUAAGAGGGUAAGAGUUGAAGCCUGAAAAGUAGGCUGAGGCUAAUGAUAAAGGACUGAAACACAUGCUGAGACUUGAACUCUCCCCACGACAUUGUGAUUAACCACCUCCUAUUUUUUUGAACAGGAGGCAGACAUGUUCGAAUUUGUAUGUCAAAUUUGAAAUGAUAGUGGUAGUAGGGCUUGAUGGAGAAUCAGGCACCUGGAGGCUGGAUGAGCUCAUGAGGGUCUCAACAGUGAGAAUUUCAGCCCAGAUGUGCUGUCUGAACACCUCACCCCUCUCCUAUCCACUUUCCCACACCCUCAAAAAAAAAAAAAAAAAA